rnacentral:snRNA from 1 species
GUCCUAGCUUUGAUAGUACAUAUACUGAAAUUGGCAUGAUACAGAGAAGAUUAUCAUGGCCCCUGCUCAAGGAUUACACACAAAUUCAUGAAGUGUCCCAUAUUUUU